UACGUAGGGGGCAAGCGUUGUCCGGAAUCAUUGGGCGUAAAGAGCGCGUAGGCGGUCCGGUAAGUCCGCUCUGAAAGUCCGGGGCUCAACCCCGGGAGGCGGGCGGAUACUGUCGGGCUAGAGUCCGGAAGAGGCGAGUGGAAUUCCUGGUGUAGCGGUGAAAUGCGCAGAUAUCAGGAGGAACACCGGCGGUGUAGACGGCUUUCUGGACCGUAGCUGACGCUGAGACACGAAAGCGUGGGUAGCAAACAGG
rnacentral:rRNA from 1 species